rnacentral:rRNA from 1 species
UACGUAGGGUGCAAGCGUUGUCCGGAAUUAUUGGGCGUAAAGAGCUCGUAGGCGGUUUGUCACGUCGGAUGUGAAACCCUGAGGCUCAACCUCAGGCCUGCAUUCGAUACGGGCAGACUAGAAUUCGGCAGGGGAGACUGGAAUUCCUGGUGUAGCGGUGAAAUGCGCAGAUAUCAGGAGGAACACCGGUGGCGAAGGCGGGUCUCUGGGCCGAUAUUGACGCUGAGGAGCGAAAAGCGUGGGGAGCAAACAGG